ensembl:lncRNA LINC02208 long intergenic non-protein coding RNA 2208
GGUGCUAACAAAGAUCUGAGGUUAUACACACAUGACCUAUCACCCACACCCACCCGAUUGGGAGGGGUUGCCUCUCCCUGUGUCCACACAUAUGCCUUGAGUUGCUCUUCAGUGAAUAUCACUUUUCCUUUCAUGUUUUUUCUACAUGCUAUUAUCUGUAUGAAAUGAAGACCAAGAAAGGAUGGGAAGAAGGAGAAGAAAAAUUUUGAUUUAUCUCAGAAACUAUACUCCGAAGUGAGAGUCCUGGUUGCAGGUGCAACUGAAGGACUAUGGCUAUGGUAGCUGCCCAGGAAGACUGGCCAUCCGAUUCAUGCUUGUGCAGUCCUUGGACUUUUAGAUCUACCAGGAUCAUCACAUUUUGGAGUUCUCAGUCCUGUGUACAAAGUCCAACUAUCUGAGGCCACCAUGCACUUAGGAUGUCCAGGCCACCUGGAGAGGCUACCAGAUAUGUGUAUGAAGAAGUUGUCUUGAAAGUGGAUCUUCCAGCCCAUGUUAUUCUAGCUACAGCUGUUUGAGUCUCCUUGUACAAGCCCCAGACAUCAUGGAAUGGAGAAGAGCUGAGCCACGGUGUCCUCUCCAAAUUCUCAAUCCACAAAACUCAUGAAAAUAAUAAAAUGAUUGUGUCUUUGUGCUACUAAAUUUAGGGAAAUUUGUUAUUCAGCAAAGAUGAUUAGAACAAGAGACCACAAUUUGACUAUCAUAUUUCAGAAAUGACACAGAUCCAGAGAGGUUAAAUAAAUCAUUUUAUUCAAAUGAA